rnacentral:tRNA from 1 species
GGAUUGUGGCUCAGUGGUAGAGCGCUUGCCUUGUGCACGUGUGAGGCCCUGGGUUCGAUCCUCAGCACCA